rnacentral:rRNA from 1 species
UAGUUUGAUCCUGGCUCAGCCUGAACGCUGGCGGCGUGGCUAAGACAUGCAAGUCGAACGGGGGUAGCAAUACCCCAGUGGCGGACGGGUGAGUAAUGUAUCGCUAACGUGCCCCGGAGCCUGGGAUAGCCUUCCGAAAGGGAGGGUAAUACCAGAUGACAUGACCUGGUUGCAUGACCGGGUCCUCAAAGCAGCAAUGCACUCUGGGAGCGGGCGAUAUCGUAUCAGCUAGUUGGCGGGGUAACGGCCCACCAAGGCGACGACGCGUAGCCGGACUGAGAGGUUGGCCGGCCACAUUGGGACUGAGACACUGCCCAGACUCCUACGGGGGGCUGCAGUAACGAAUCUUCCGCAAUGCACGCAAGUGUGACGGAGCGACGCCGCGUGUGGGACGAAGCCCUUCGGGGUGUAAACCACUGUCAGGGGCAGCCAAGUUCUGAGGCGCCCCAGAGGAAGGCACGGCUAACUCUGUGCCAGCAGCCGCGGUAAGACAGAGGUGCCGAGCGUUAGGCGGAAUCACUGGGCUUAAAGCGUGUGUAGGCGGGUCGUUAAGUGCCUUGUGAAAUCCCACGGCUCAACCGUGGAACUGCUGGGCAUACUGGCGAUCUUGGGCCAACCAGGGGUCAUCGGAAACAACGGUGGAGCGGUGAAAUGCGUAGAUAUCGUUUGGAACG